rnacentral:misc_RNA from 1 species
UUUGGUUUUGGAAGGGUGGGUUUGUCUGUUAGAAGAAUUGUUUUCUGAGUAGUAGGCCUUUGAUUCCUUUCUGUUUCUGAAAAAAAAACACAAAGUCAUAGCUGCUAUUCCUGCACACAAAAAAAUGUUGCUGUUUGUUUACCUGUGUGCACGUCUAAGAAUGAAAAUGUGGAAACUACAGUCAGGGUUCUUCAGAGUGGAAAUUUCCACCCCGGUAGUCAUUUUGAUAAUUUGGUUGCCAGAUGGUUCUUAGUCACUUGGUGUUAAUAUAUGGUUGAUGAAUGAACUUUUAGUUGUAAACUAUGCAGUUCCUGAGUACCAUCACUUCCAACUAGUGGCCGAGUUCUAGUUUUUUUUUUUGUUAAGCAAGAAAUUGGUUGGUAGAUAUGAGAAUAAUAAAUCGAAAUUGAUUUGACACGCAUUAGUUGGAUUUUAUAAUUCGUGGAGGUAGUUUUCCGAAGAGAUAAAUGUCAAAAAACACACAUAAACUAUUUUUUUAGUAUCACACCCAAACUAUUGAAAGUAUGAGUUUCAUACCUAAACUAUCACUUGGUAGUUUAAAAAACACACUUUUCUCUUUAUUACACUCUCUUCAUGGUGUGUGUACUACACUCUCUUUUAGCUAAAA